GACGAACGCUGGCGGCGUGCUUAACACAUGCAAGUCGAACGGAAAGGCCUCUUCGGAGGUACUCGAGUGGCGAACGGGUGAGUAACACGUGGGUGAUCUGCCCUGCACUCUGGGAUAAGCCUGGGAAACUGGGUCUAAUACCGGAUAGGACCAUGCUUUAGUGUGUGUGGUGGAAAGUUUUUUCGGUGUAGGAUGAGCCCGCGGCCUAUCAGCUUGUUGGUGGGGUAAUGGCCUACCAAGGCGGCGACGGGUAGCCGGACUGAGAGGUUGGUCGGCCACAUUGGGACUGAGAUACGGCCCAGACUCCUACGGGAGGCAGCAGUGGGGAAUAUUGCACAAUGGGCGCAAGCCUGAUGCAGCGACGCCGCGUGGGGGAUGACGGCCUUCGGGUUGUAAACUCCUUUCGCCAGGGACGAAGCGUUUUGUGACGGUACCUGGAGAAGAAGCACCGGCUAACUACGUGCCAGCAGCCGCGGUAAUACGUAGGGUGCAAGCGUUGUCCGGAAUUAUUGGGCGUAAAGCGAGCGCAGGCGGUCAAUUAAGUCUGAUGUGAAAGCCCCCGGCUCAACCGGGGAGGGUCAUUGGAAACUGGUUGACUUGAGUGCAGAAGAGGAGAGUGGAAUUCCAUGUGUAGCGGUGAAAUGCGUAGAUAUAUGGAGGAACACCAGUGGCGAAGGCGACUCUCUGGUCUGUAACUGACGCUGAGGCUCGAAAGCGUGGGUAGCAAACAGGAUUAGAUACCCUGGUAGUCCACGCCGUAAACGAUGAGUGCUAAGUGUUGGAGGGUUUCCACCCUUCAGUGCUGCAGUUAACGCAUUAAGCACUCCGCCUGGGGAGUACGACCGCAAGGUUGAAACUCAAAGGAAUUGACGGGGACCCGCACAAGCGGUGGAGCAUGUGGUUUAAUUCGAAGCAACGCGAAGAGCCUUACCAAGUCUUGACAUACUGUGAGGACACAAGAGAUUGUGUUGUUCUGACCUUUGGUUAGACACAGAUACAGGUGGUGCAUGGUUGUCGUCAGCUCGUGUCGUGAGAUGUUGGGUUAAGUCCCGCAACGAGCGCAACCCUUAUAUCUAGUUGCCAGCAGUAAGAUGGGGACUCUAGAUAGACUGCCAGUGAUAAACUGGAGGAAGGUGGGGAUGACGUCAAAUCAUCAUGCCCCUUAUGACUUGGGCUACACACGUGCUACAAUGGAUAGGAACAAAGAGAAGCGAGCUCGCGAGAGUAAGCAAACCUCACAAAACUAUUCUCAGUUCGGAUUGUAGUCUGCAACUCGACUACAUGAAGCUGGAAUCGCUAGUAAUCGCGAAUCAGAAUGUCGCGGUGAAUACGUUCCCGGGUCU
rnacentral:rRNA from 1 species